GUACACUCCUGCGGGAGGCAGCAGUGGGGAAUAUUGGACAAUGGGCGCAAGCCUGAUCCAGCCAUGCCGCGUGAGUGAUGAAGGCCCUAGGGUUGUAAAGCUCUUUCACCGGUGAAGAUAAUGACGGUAACCGGAGAAGAAGCCCCGGCUAACUUCGUGCCAGCAGCCGCGGUAAUACGAAGGGGGCUAGCGUUGUUCGGAUUUACUGGGCGUAAAGCGCACGUAGGCGGACUAUUAAGUCAGGGGUGAAAUCCCGGGGCUCAACCCCGGAACUGCCUUUGAUACUGGUAGUCUUGAGUUCGAGAGAGGUGAGUGGAAUUCCGAGUGUAGAGGUGAAAUUCGUAGAUAUUCGGAGGAACACCAGUGGCGAAGGCGGCUCACUGGCUCGAUACUGACGCUGAGGUGCGAAAGCGUGGGGAGCAAACAGGAUUAGAUACCCCAGUAGUCCCAUG
rnacentral:rRNA from 1 species